rnacentral:lncRNA from 1 species
UUGCUAAACUUAGAUCCAAACUAAAAAGUCCAAUUUGAGAGUCCAACCUAAAGAGCCCAAUCCGAAAGUUUAACCUCAAGAAUCCAAUUCGAGAAGUCAACGCAUUCUAUUUGAAAGGAGUUUUUGACCACUUUUGCAGGAACAAUAUAUAAUCCUGAAUUUUCAAAAUAAUUAAUUAUAAGAUUAAUAUUAGUAACAGUCUUAAUUUUGCAGGAGAAGAAAAAGGAAGAAGAGUGGUGAUGAAUGAUUUUGGUUGGAAAUGAAGAUCCAUAGAAGAAUUGAAUGAAAUGGUUAAGAGGAAAAGAAGAAGAAGAACAGAGGUGCAUGGAUUGAAGAAGCUAUGAGUGAAACAGAGACAUAUAAGACAGUGAUGGGUGACCUUAAAAGGGGGUACCAUGGAGAUUGAGAAGGACCACCACAGCAGAACAAGCACAUGAAUACAUCAACUACUAAGCAUGUAUCCAUGUUCACA